UACGGGGGGGGCAAGCGUUGUUCGGAAUUACUGGGCGUAAAGGGCUCGUAGGCGGCCAACUAAGUCAUACGUGAAAUCCCUCGGCUUAACCGGGGAACUGCGUCUGAUACUGGAUGGCUUGAGAUUGGGAGAGGGAUGCGGAAUUCCAGGUGUAGCGGUGAAAUGCGUAGAUAUCUGGAGGAACACCGGUGGCGAAGGCGGCAUCCUGGACCAACACUGACGCUGAGGAGCGAAAGCGUGGGGAGCGAACCGG
rnacentral:rRNA from 1 species